UCGCGGCUUAUCACCGGCAGUCUCCUUAGAGUGCUCAACUAAAUGGUAGCAACUAAGGACGGGGGUUGCGCUCGUUGCGGGACUUAACCCAACAUCUCACGACACGAGCUGACGACAGCCAUGCAGCACCUGUACACCCACCACAAGGGGGCCUGUAUCUCUACAGGUUUCGAGUGCAUGUCAAGCCCAGGUAAGGUUCUUCGCGUUGCAUCGAAUUAAUCCACAUACUCCACCGCUUGUGCAGGCCCCCGUCAAUUCCUUUGAGUUUUAGCCUUGCGGCCGUACUCCCCAGGCGGGGCGCUUAAUGCGUUAGCUUCGGCACGGACGGAGUCGACACCGCCCACACCUAGCGCCCAUCGUUUACGGCGUGGACUAC
rnacentral:misc_RNA from 1 species